UCUAGACUUUAUCCAUUUGAUUCGAUUUGGCAGAAGUAAUUGAUUGCACGUAGAAUAGUUAUUCUGGGUGGAAUCGGUGUUGCUAAGGAUCCAUUACAAUUCGUCUCGGUGGUUCCAUUCAAGGAGAGAUAAAUUCAUCUUCUGCUGCUGUUGUUGAAGUAAGUCUGUUUCAACAACUAAUCAACAUUGGAGACUGUAGUUUGUUCUGUUGAUUCACUGCCUCAAACAUCUAAUACUACUUCCAUCAAAGAAAGAAUGACACUGAAGAGUCUGCCACCAGAUAUCAUAUUAGACAUACUUUCUCGACUACCAACUGAGUCUGUUUUAGACUGCAAGUUAGUUUGCAAAAGGUUGCUUAGUCUCCUUACUAGUAGAAGAAAUCAGUUCGCGGAGAUGCACCAUCGCCGUCAGUUACUGCAACUCGCUAAUGGUGAGUUUGGUAAUGCUGCUGCUUCUUCUUCUGUGGUGAAGAUGGGUCUUAUGUUUUCCAUUUUAUUGGACGAAGAAAAAGAUAGCGUAGGACCACGACUUUAUUAUGGAGACAAGUAUAAUGAUGAGAUGAAUAUCCAUGACAGUUUCUCAUACAAGACACUUAAAAAGACCAGCAUCAGCUAUCCUCUUAUCAAGACUGGUAUCCCUAAGAAUGUCAUAGUUGGUUCACUCAAUGGUUUGAUUUGUCUCAACAGGUAUCAUGAUGGAAUUCUUGAUCCUAUUUACAUAUGCAAUCCCAUGACCGGAGAAUAUGUCAAGCUUCCUAAACAUACCUUAUCCCCCCAAAACUAUAUAGGCGCAUUCGGGUUUGGAUACAUUCAUUCAAUAACCACUGUGUACAAGGUUGUUAGGAUCUACUAUGAGAAAUUCGAAGAUUAUGCCGUCGGGGAGGUCCAAGUAUAUACUAUUGGCAGUGGCAGUGGGUGGAGAACCAUAGGUAGAACCUCGUACUAUUUGUGUUUCCCCCAGCAUGUUGGAAUCUUUGCAAAUGGAGCUCUUAACUGGCUGGAGAAUAAGAAUAUCGUGGCUUUCAGUUUGGCGGACGAGGAGUUCCGAUUGGUCCAACAAGUACCUUGCCUCAAUCAUAACCUGCGAAACUGUACAUAUGGACUGCAAGCAUUGGGAGGGAAUUUGUGCCUUUGUCUACAAAAUAUCUCCGAACAUCUUCUAGAAAUAUGGUCAUUGAAGGGAACUGGUCCGCAAGAGAGUUGGAGUAGGGAAUUCAGCAUUGACUUGGCUAACAUGUUUCCUUGCGUGCCGUUAUUACUCACAAAGAAGAAUGAAGUGCUGUUGGUGCACGAAGGUGCAACACUUUAUUGUUAUGAACCCGAAAACAACUACUUGGAUAAAAUUUUGGGAUGAUGGUUCGAAGGAAAAUGCGAUGUAUCUUACUGCAUUUCCCCACAUGAACAACUUCCUCUCAUUGAAAUCUCUAGGAGAAAAAUCUAAGAGGAAAAAAAGAGCGAAAGAAGCUGUGCUGACAGUGUAAUCAAUGAGUUCAAUGGAGCCAGCCUCAAGUGAUCAAUUUAGCACUUCGCUGUAGCUAUUCUUAGAACAAGCGAGAUAUAACUAAGCAUAUCAUGCUUGUGCCAGUGGUUCUAGGGCGAUGCUUGUCAAGUAUACUUGCACUAGGUAAAGAUGGGAAUUUCUAUCCAGGAAAGACUUGUUGGAGGUGUCAUUUCUGAAAACUAGCAUUUUAUGAUUCUAGGUAAUGUACUGGCAAGUAGUGCUGAGAUACAUAGAAAUUUGAUUAAGUGUGGACCUCUAAGUGGAGGAGAGAGUGAACACCGACAAUCCAUGAGUGGAAAUGUACAGACAGAAUCUACUGGUGUUACCAAAAGAUUCAUGGUGAAGAUCGGCCAUCAUUAGGUUCUGAGGCUCAGGAAAAUGUGAACCUGAAAUUACUUGGAACUGGUUCUGGUGAUUCUCACACAGGUGCCGACACUGAGCUUCCUCUACAACCACAAGGGUCUGAAUCAGGCAGAGAAACCAAUCUGUCUGACAUUCCUGAGCAUGUGAGUUACAAGUUGUGUCAGCAGCAAUCUCACUGGAUGAAAUGUAUCAUUUUGUAUUUGCUCUGAGGGAGAGCGCGGGACCCUGCUUACUUAUCUGCCAUAAUUGUCUAGUAUUUGCGGAGUGCUGCUUCAGAAAACCUUAAGCUCUUGAGAGUCGAGACGUCAGAACUUCAUGAGAAGGAAGCUGGUAUGGAUAUGUUAAGGAAGCUCUAGUCACAUGAUCUAUCACGAUCUCCUUUUCUCUCCUUCUCCUUGUCGGGACGUCUCCGAUGCUCCUUGCCCAUUACUUUUUCAUGGUCAGGUUCAGGUCGGUCCACACUGAGAUCACGCUCAGCAUGAUAUGUUGUGGUUCUUUCCCUCUGCUGGUAUUGCAAGUAAAUACAAGAUGGCUAUUAUAUUGAAGCUCUUCGCUACAUAUGGAAGAACAAGGGCAUUUCAGUUUGCCCUUCAAUGUUUCUUGAGGCUGUAGUCUCUUUCAAUGACUCACAGCAUUUAUCAGCAGUAUCGAGCUUCUUCUCGGAUUCCAAUCCCACAUUCAAGAAUGCUACAGAUCAUAGCAUGUAAUGAAUGUUGAGGAAGACUUUUAUAUGACAGGAACAACCCUGCUAGGUACUAUUCUUAACUCAGUUGUGACUCAUGAGGACCAAAAACAUAUUAGUCUCAUAAAUCAUACUUCACAUGAAUUUAGUUGAAAUGAACGAUUCACAAUUGGUCUUUUUUUUUCUCAGAUGACAGUUCAAAUGUUACAGCAUACAAAUUGGAAGUUUGAGGCAGCUGUACUUUCAGUUGCAUUAUUUUUAAAGAUUUUGGUGUUGUUAUUUGACAAUCUACACUCUUUUGUGUGCUUUUAAUUUUCAGAGCUUAUGUCCCAGAUGAUGCAAACCAGUACAAGAGCAUCAUAAUUAACCAAGUAGAAAGCUGAGUUUGGUUGGCAAGUUUUGCUCCAUAGAAAAUUAGCUCUGUUUAGGUCCUUCAGGAUUCUCUGAGCGUUCAUCGCAACAUAAAAAAAUCCAAACUUAGCUCUCAAAACACAUUGACAUUGGAUUACAAGCCAUUUUACAAUGAGUCUUAGAGCAAUCAAGACCAAGUGACAAUUUUUCAGGUUUUAUCUGUGCAGGUUUUGAUCAUGAUUUGAGAAGAGAGGUACGCCACUAUUCCUGCUUCUCCUGACGGAACCUUUUUAUUCAGGAUUCUCCCAGUCCCGGAGACGGAACCUUUUUAUUCUCCAAGUCUCGGAGUCUCUGUCUGCCGUCUGCCAAUGUUAUAGUGGGUGGGCCCGAGGGGGGAAAGCCCGCUCGUGGCAAACUAAACGGCAACCAAAGAGCAUUUUUGGAAAGAUGUGUUUCGGUAUAAAAGCUUAGGGCAGCACCGAACCGAGAGAAGAAAAAAAAGGGGAGGAGCAACCGUUCACAGGAAAAUACCUGGUGUAUGUCGCUCACAUGUAGCUGUUCUUAAACCAGUCCGUGGUUUGAUUUGUUUUAUAGACACUGACAUAUCAUCUGUUUGCGUUUACAACCCCAGCACCAGAGAAUCAACACCUUAGAUUAAAUCUCUAAUCUUACAACAACAUGAACAAGAAGUUGAAGAAGAAGAAGCGACAGAAGAACAUGAACAAGAAGUUGAGGAAGAAGAAUUAAUAGAAGCAACAGAAGAAGAAGACGGAGUUUUUUUCGACUUAUCAAAUAAUCAUAUAAGUUUUGGAUAUGAUCCUGCCACCAAGGAACACAAAGUGAUUUCCAUUUGGGCUAAACAAAGAUCCGCCUUGCCAGGGGAAGAUUGGCUUUGCGAGAUUUUGACAGAGAUGCAAUUCUUGGAGACUGAUCGACGCAGUCCCACCGAUCUCACCUUUCCAUCUUAAGAGUGCGGCUUCUACUUAUGCCAAUGGUUCAAUAUAUUGGCUGCAUUAUGGGACUGACAUUAAACAUAGUGGUGCUAAUAAGCCGAUGGUUGUUGAAAUUAAUGUUGGUAGGGAGGAACUUAGAGUAAUCUCACUUCCUGACUCUAUCAUCAAUAAUGAUGACAUUAGUGCAACAACGUUUAAUUAUGGUUCUUUAAUGGAGGUCGAUGACCAUCUGGUUCUGUUAGCCAAAAAGAGACAUGCUGAAGAUUAUACUAUAUGGGUUAAGAAAAAA